UAACUGGAGUUGGCUGUAAAUGUGAUUCCUGUGGGCUGACUGCUCUAAGCCUUAUUCACGCAAAGCUGCCUUUUUUUGCAAUGGGCUGAAUUUUUUCAACCAAUUUGUAUCGCCUGUCAAGAAUUUUCAUGUGACUCUCGGAAUCCUGCUGCAGAGUCUUCCCUAUUUGCUAUUCAGUCCUGUUUUCUUCUCCCUUUAGCAGUUUCUUUUUUGAACAGAAAACGGAGGGACCUGCCCGCUUUGCUGCUGCUGCCGCUGCUCCAGCCGCGUGUGUGUGUGUGUAAACAGGAUGGUGUAUCUGUAGCUGCCACGCGCAAACACACAUUUGACCAUGAGGACUCUUCGCAGGUUGAAGUUCAUGAGUUCGCCCAGCCUCAGUGAUCUGGGCAAGAGAGAGCAGGCAGCCUUGGAUGAGCGGGGGACCCAGCAGCGACGGGCCUGCUCCAACGCUACCUGGAACAG